rnacentral:rRNA from 1 species
CCUACGGGAGGCAGCAGUGGGGAAUUUUGGACAAUGGACGCAAGUCUGAUCCAGCCAUUCCGCGUGCAGGACGAAGGCCUUCGGGUUGUAAACUGCUUUUGUACAGAACGAAAAGGUUUCUCUUAAUACGAGGGGCUCAUGACGGUACUGUAAGAAUAAGCACCGGCUAACUACGUGCCAGCAGCCGCGGUAAUACGUAGGGUGCAAGCGUUAAUCGGAAUUACUGGGCGUAAAGCGUGCGCAGGCGGUUAUAUAAGACAGAUGUGAAAUCCCCGGGCUCAACCUGGGAACUGCAUUUGUGACUGUAUAGCUGGAGUACGGUAGAGGGGGAUGGAAUUCCGCGUGUAGCAGUGAAAUGCGUAGAUAUGCGGAGGAACACCGAUGGCGAGGGCAAUCCCCUGGACCUGUACUGACGCUCAUGCACGAAAGCGUGGGGAGCAAACAGGAUUAGAUACCCUGGUAGUCCACGCCCUAAACGAUGUCAACUGGUUGUUGGGUCUUCACUGACUCAGUAACGAAGCUAACGCGNGAGUGACGCGNGGNGAGCGCGAGUGAGACGAAGAGUAGAGNGNGAGAGNGCGAGACGACGACGAGGGAGGAGG